rnacentral:rRNA from 1 species
UGCGUAGGCGGAUUAAUAAGUCAGUGGUGAAAACCUGCAGCUUAACUGUAGACUUGCCAUUGAUACUGUUAGUCUUGAGUACGGUCAAGGUAGGCGGAAUGUGUAAUGUAGCGGUGAAAUGCUUAGAUAUUACACAGAACACCGAUUGCGAAGGCAGCUUACUGGACCAUUACUGACGCUGAGGCACGAAAGCGUGGGGAGCGAACAGGAUUAGAUACCCUGGUAGUCC